rnacentral:rRNA from 1 species
UUUUUACAACGAAGAGUUUGAUCCUGGCUCAGGAUGAACGCUAGCGGCGGGCUUAACACAUGCAAGUCGAGGGGCAGCAUGAAAUUUAUUUAUUUAGAUUUUGAUGGCGACCGGCGGACGGGUGCGUAACACGUAUGUAACCUACCUUUUUCUAGAAAAUAGCCUGAGGAAACUCGGAUUAAUAUUCUAUAAUACAGUAUUUUCGCAUGAAAAUAUUAUUAAAGCAGAAAUGCGGAAAAAGAUGGGCAUGCGCCCGAUUAGUUAGUUGGUGGGGUAAAGGCCUACCAAGACGAUGAUCGGUAGGGGGCCUGAGAGGGUGAUCCCCCACACUGGUACUGAGAUACGGACCAGACUCCUACGGGAGGCAGCAGUGAGGAAUAUUGGUCAAUGGAGGAAACUCUGAACCAGCCACGCCGCGUGCAGGAAGAAUGCCUUAUGGGUUGUAAACUGCUUUUGUUUAGGAAUAAAAAUUUCUACGUGAUAGAAAUUGUGAAGGUACUAGACGAAUAAGUGUCGGCAAACUCCGUGCCAGCAGCCGCGGUAAUACGGAGGACACAAGCGUUAUCCGGAUUUAUUGGGUUUAAAGAGUGCGUAGGCGGUUUAUUAAGUCAGUAGUGAAAUGUUACAGCUUAACUGUUAAAAUGGCUAAUGAUACUGAUAGACUUGAGUGAGAUUGGAGUAACUGGAAUGUGUGGUGUAGCGGUGAAAUGCAUAGAGAUCACACAGAACACCGAUCGCGAAAGCAGGUUACUAAAUCUAUACUGACGCUGAGGUACGAAAGCGUGGGGAGCAAACAGGAUUAGAUACCCUGGUAGUCCACGCCGUAAACGAUGAUCACUAGUCGUUGGAUUUUAUUAUUCAGUGGCUAAGCGAAAGUGAUAAGUGAUCCACCUGGGGAGUACGAUCGCAAGGUUGAAACUCAAAGGAAUUGACGGGGGCCCGCACAAGCGGUGGAGCAUGUGGUUUAAUUCGAUGAUACGCGAGGAACCUUACCAAGGUUUAAAUGUACUACGAAUAAGCUAGAAAUAGUUUAGUCUUCGGACGGAGUACAAGAUGCUGCAUGGUUGUCGUCAGCUCGUGCCGUGAGGUGUUGGGUUAAGUCCCUCAACGAGCGCAACCCUCAUUGUUAGUUGCCAACGAAUAAUGUCGGGGACUCUAGCAAGACUGCCGACGUAAGUCGAGAGGAAGGUGGGGACGACGUCAAAUCAUCACGGCUCUUAUACCUUGGGCUACACACGUGCUACAAUGGUCGGUACAAAGGGUUGCUAUUGAGUAAUCAUAAGCUAAUCUCUAAAAACCGAUCUCAGUUCGGAUUGGAGUCUGCAACUCGACUCUAUGAAGUUGGAAUCGCUAGUAAUCGCAUAUCAGCCAUGAUGCGGUGAAUACGUUCCCGGGCCUUGUACACACCGCCCGUCAAGCCAUGGAAGUCGGGGGGACCUGAAAUUGGUGACCAUAAAAGGAACUGCUUAAGGUAAAAUCGAUAACUGGGGCUAAGUCGUAACAAGGUAGCCGUACCGGAAGGUGUGGCUGGAACAUCUCUUUU